UCUUCUUGAGAGAUCCCAUCUUUGGUCAUGUGUAAGAGCAAUUUAAUUACAUCUUCUCUGAUAAACUAAUAACGACAUGCAUGCUGCUUCCUGUGUACUAGGCGGACAGUAGUCAGCACGGGACGUGCAGAGUGGGAGUCCAGCAGGACGAGUCACUUUCUCUGUGGCCCAGUGUGAUUGCCUGGGUGACUCUACCCAAAGUAAAUGAGUCCUGUGCAACCAGCGUUGGCCUUCUCCGUGAGUCGGUGACCGCAGUCAUAGUGCUCCAGUGUCUUGGGCAGCUGCUAUGGCCCUGUCACUGCUCUUUGUGCAGUGAAGGGAGGGACCCUGCUGCCAGGAACCGAUUCCCUGGUGACUGUUCAGCUCCUGUGGCCCAGGGCAAUGCAUAACACUUGGCCCGCCACAGGCAAGACAGAAUAAAAACAGGUUGGGGAGAUCACUCAGUAGGUAAGAAUGCUUGCUCUGCAAGCAUAGAGAUCUGAGUUCAAACCCCCAGCACCUAUGUAAAACCCAGGCAUGGCCAUAUGCAUGUGAGCUGUGACAGGUUUUUCUUGGGCUUGACAGCUUCCCCCUGAGCUCCAGGUUCUGUGAGAAACAUGUGGAUAAACUACACCACAUAUGUAUAAUAAAAUAAAACGAUUUUUAAAAAUUAAAAAAAGACCCAGAACAACUAGUCCAGCAUUCCCGCUGCUCACAACAUGUUGGAGCCAGAAUUCCCCCCAUAAUUGUAAGGGAGCAGAUUGCCAAUCGUCAACUGCGCAGUCCUGUUUUGUGUGUUUACACCCACCACAGCGCUGAGGUGUGCACUUCAGGGUGACCGCCAAGGAAGACACAAUGAGCCAGAGUUCUCACCCAUGAUGUGGAGACCAGAGUCUGGCAGAGAGGUCUUCCACAACUCUAGACACAGCACAGUUAGCCCGAUGGAAGAUGCAGACCAGAGGAAACUGGCUUCCCUUUCUUUGAGCUAGAGGAAUAUCCUACUACAAAAGUGUCUUCUCUUGGUGACCAAACAAAAGGCUGGCUCACUGGGGUACGGUGUAACAGCAGCCUUCAAACCGAGAUUGUAACCCUAACUUAGAGUUGGUACUUUCUCACUGUUAACAGUCUGAACACAAAUCAAGAUGGAGAACACGGGGAGAGAAGGAAAAUCUCACAUAAAGCAACAACUGCCUCACUUGAAGGGCAGGUCCUUGGCUGACUGAGAGGAGGAGCCCCUUCACAGUGGCCCAGCUCUUCUUCCAGGUGGUUGGCUGGCUGUAGGCGCCAACACUACCACAAGUUCUUCCUCUCCUGUUUAAAAGUACUUUCCAACCACAAGGAUAUUGCAGCAAAUGAGAAAAGGACAAACCUUUUGAAAGGAAAGGAAAAUGGAAGAACAGCCACUCAGCCUGACAGCACUGCAGAUGCCGCUUCUCUGACACCCAUCCCCAGAGCCGAGGAGGAGCGAUGGGCAGAGACCUCAGAGUCGACACACCUGCUUCCUUUAAGAACCACGGAAAUCUCACCCCGCAAGGACAAAAUACAGGGUUGGGGACAGACCAAGGCCAGCUGCUGACCCAGGUGUCUGGAGGAGAAGACAACUGAAGGCAAAGAAAAAGUGAGCCUCAAACCCAAGAAGAGCACGCAAGCCGACUGCAUUCGAGGGCCACUGCUGUGCGCUGUGUGCUCUGCCCUGUGUCCUUGACUGAUCACCGCAGCCAGCCUUCUAGAACCCGUUCAAGCUUGAGUUGCCAUCCUUUCCCCAUUCCUGACCUCGGGCAGUGUCCAGCUUCACACGCUGAGUGUGACUUUGCUGUUUUUGAUAGAAAGCCCCUCUGUAUAGAUUCUAAGUGGCCUUGCUGUGGUGGAGGGUCAGGAGCAGUGAAAGCCGAGGCCGUCUCCCAGCCACUCCAGUCUGCUAUCAAGAUCAACAAAGGAGACUCUCGCAGAGCUUGGCCGGUUCAGGCCACAGCUUUUCUAGGAACCAUUUCUUCCAGAUCGAGGUCUCCUGGCUGUGCAUGGUGUCAGCAUGAUCUCCCCACCAGAGCAAUCUAUCCUGUUUGUUUAAGACAGAACUGAGAGAGACAGGCAGUGUACACACUUACACACCCACCCAGAGACUAUUAAACUGUCAGGAGAGUCUGUGCAGAGGACUGACGGUAGUGAGUCCCAACAGAGGUUCUGCAGUCAGAUGACGGGCGUCUGGACAGUAAAGUCAUCUCUCCCAUUUGAGAUCCAUGUUCACAAUUAGUGGCACACUAAUGUGUUCGGUCACCAAAUCUUUAAGUCUCUCCAUAUUUUCUUAGUCUCCCUCAUUAACCAUCACUUGACAGCUUCUUCACUAGACUUGAAGGCACAGUGUGUGCGAUUAUUUUGGGAAACAAUCCCUCUGUGGAGCACUGCCACCCGCUGUCAACGCUGAAGAACACUCAGCACAGAGCAGAGCAAGAUAAUGCGCUAACCAGCCAGAGGAGAAUCUAGUCGGAGCAUCCUGGUGAGAAAUGAUUCCAAUAAGGGCUACCUGGAAAACCACAGGAAGGACACUGUGUCCUACAGUGCCACAAAACUUAAAAGAACCCAAAGAAAGUCAGAGCUUGGGACACAAGUUACUGUUGUGUGGUGGUGACAAAGCAAAGACACACAGAGGCUUUGGGAAAAUGUCUGUCAGAUAAAUGUGGCCACUUCCUAGAACUUCAUCAAGCUCAAUACCUACCACAUAUGUAAGCAUGUAUAUAUGCAUGCAUGUAUGUAUGCAUGUAUGAAUGUAUAUAUGU
rnacentral:sRNA from 1 species